CCAGAGCCUGAAUCAGUGUGUGUGUUAGUGGAAGCGUCUGGAAAGGCGCGCGAUACAGGGUGACAGCCCCGUACACAAAAAUGCACAUAUUGUGAGCUCGAUGAGUAGGGCGGGACACGUGGUAUCCUGUCUGAAUAUGGGGGGACCAUCCUCCAAGGCUAAAUACUCCUGACUGACCGAUAGUGAACCAGUACCGUGAGGGAAAGGCGAAAAGAACCCCGGCGAGGGGAGUGAAAAAGAACCUGAAACCGUGUACGUACAAGCAGUGGGAGCCUCUUUAUGGGGUGACUGCGUACCUUUUGUAUAAUGGGUCAGCGACUUAUAUUCUGUAGCAAGGUUAACCGAAUAGGGGAGCCGAAGGGAAACCGAGUCUUAACUGGGCGUUAAGUUGCAGGGUAUAGACCCGAAACCCGGUGAUCUAGCCAUGGGCAGGUUGAAGGUUGGGUAACACUAACUGGAGGACCGAACCGACUAAUGUUGAAAAAUUAGCGGAUGACUUGUGGCUGGGGGUGAAAGGCCAAUCAAACCGGGAGAUAGCUGGUUCUCCCCGAAAGCUAUUUAGGUAGCGCCUCGUGAAUUCAUCUCCGGGGGUAGAGCACUGUUUCGGCAAGGGGGUCAUCCCGACUUACCAACCCGAUGCAAACUGCGAAUACCGGAGAAUGUUAUCACGGGAGACACACGGCGGGUGCUAACGUCCGUCGUGAAGAGGGAAACAACCCAGACCGCCAGCUAAGGUCCCAAAGUCAUGGUUAAGUGGGAAACGAUGUGGGAAGGCCCAGACAGCCAGGAUGUUGGCUUAGAAGCAGCCAUCAUUUAAAGAAAGCGUAAUAGCUCACUGGUCGAGUCGGCCUGCGCGGAAGAUGUAACGGGGCUAAACCAUGCACCGAAGCUGCGGCAGCGACACUAUGUGUUGUUGGGUAGGGGAGCGUUCUGUAAGCCUGUGAAGGUGGCCUGUGAGGGUUGCUGGAGGUAUCAGAAGUGCGAAUGCUGACAUAAGUAACGAUAAAGCGGGUGAAAAGCCCGCUCGCCGGAAGACCAAGGGUUCCUGUCCAACGUUAAUCGGGGCAGGGUGAGUCGACCCCUAAGGCGAGGCCGAAAGGCGUAGUCGAUGGGAAACAGGUUAAUAUUCCUGUACUUGGUGUUACUGCGAAGGGGGGACGGAGAAGGCUAUGUUGGCCGGGCGACGGUUGUCCCGGUUUAAGCGUGUAGGCUGGUUUUCCAGGCAAAUCCGGAAAACCAAGGCUGAGGCGUGAUGACGAGGCACUACGGUGCUGAAGCGACAAAUGCCCUGCUUCCAGGAAAAGCCUCUAAGCAUCAGGUAACAUCAAAUCGUACCCCAAACCGACACAGGUGGUCAGGUAGAGAAUACCAAGGCGCUUGAGAGAACUCGGGUGAAGGAACUAGGCAAAAUGGUGCCGUAACUUCGGGAGAAGGCACGCUGAUAUGUAGGUGAAGCGACUUGCUCGUGGAGCUGAAAUCAGUCGAAGAUACCAGCUGGCUGCAACUGUUUAUUAAAAACACAGCACUGUGCAAACACGAAAGUGGACGUAUACGGUGUGACGCCUGCCCGGUGCCGGAAGGUUAAUUGAUGGGGUUAGCGGUAACGCGAAGCUCUUGAUCGAAGCCCCGGUAAACGGCGGCCGUAACUAUAACGGUCCUAAGGUAGCGAAAUUCCUUGUCGGGUAAGUUCCGACCUGCACGAAUGGCGUAAUGAUGGCCAGGCUGUCUCCACCCGAGACUCAGUGAAAUUGAACUCGCUGUGAAGAUGCAGUGUACCCGCGGCAAGACGGAAAGACCCCGUGAACCUUUACUAUAGCUUGACACUGAACAUUGAGCCUUGAUGUGUAGGAUAGGUGGGAGGCUUUGAAGUGUGGACGCCAGUCUGCAUGGAGCCGACCUUGAAAUACCACCCUUUAAUGUUUGAUGUUCUAACGUUGGCCCGUAAUCCGGGUUGCGGACAGUGUCUGGUGGGUAGUUUGACUGGGGCGGUCUCCUCCUAAAGAGUAACGGAGGAGCACGAAGGUUGGCUAAUCCUGGUCGGACAUCAGGAGGUUAGUGCAAUGGCAUAAGCCAGCUUGACUGCGAGCGUGACGGCGCGAGCAGGUGCGAAAGCAGGUCAUAGUGAUCCGGUGGUUCUGAAUGGAAGGGCCAUCGCUCAACGGAUAAAAGGUACUCCGGGGAUAACAGGCUGAUACCGCCCAAGAGUUCAUAUCGACGGCGGUGUUUGGCACCUCGAUGUCGGCUCAUCACAUCCUGGGGCUGAAGUAGGUCCCAAGGGUAUGGCUGUUCGCCAUUUAAAGUGGUACGCGAGCUGGGUUUAGAACGUCGUGAGACAGUUCGGUCCCUAUCUGCCGUGGGCGCUGGAGAACUGAGGGGGGCUGCUCCUAGUACGAGAGGACCGGAGUGGACGCAUCACUGGUGUUCGGGUUGUCAUGCCAAUGGCACUGCCCGGUAGCUAAAUGCGGAAGAGAUAAGUGCUGAAAGCAUCUAAGCACGAAACUUGC
rnacentral:rRNA from 1 species